rnacentral:rRNA from 1 species
CCUACGGGCGGCAGCAGUGGGGAAUAUUGGACAAUGGGCGAAAGCCUGAUCCAGCCAUGCCGCGUGUGUGAAGAAGGCCUUCGGGUUGUAAAGCACUUUCAGUGGGGAAGAAAGCCUUGGGGCUAAUACCCUCGAGGAAGGACAUCACCCACAGAAGAAGCACCGGCUAACUCCGUGCCAGCAGCCGCGGUAAUACGGAGGGUGCGAGCGUUAAUCGGAAUUACUGGGCGUAAAGCGCGCGUAGGCGGUCUGAUAAGCCGGUUGUGAAAGCCCCGGGCUCAACCUGGGAACGGCAUCCGGAACUGUCAGGAUAGAGUGCAGGAGAGGAAGGUAGAAUUCCCGGUGUAGCAGUGAAAUGCGUAGAGAUCGGGAGGAAUACCAGUGGCGAAGGCGGCCUUCUGGACUGACACUGACGCUGAGGUGCGAAAGCGUGGGUAGCAAACAGGAUUAGAUACCCCAGUAGUC